rnacentral:lncRNA from 1 species
GAUUCAUCAAGUAAUAAUGUUGACAUGGUAUCAGAGCAGGUGUAUUUCGAUUCUACUCAUCAUGAGCUUCCGAUCGAUGUUACCCUCAGAGUUUCAUCCAAGUUUCUGUUGAUUCACGAAGUUAGGGUUUUUGAUUCGGUCAGUUUUCAUCAAAAUCUCAUGUAUUUUGGUUGAUUAGAGUUGUUGCAUGUUGUGUAAACUUCAGAGUUUGUAAAUUUCUG